rnacentral:lncRNA from 1 species
GAAUCGAGCACAUCCCCCUAAUCUCCUGAAGUUCUCCAACAGUAGGAGAGAUGAGGGUUUGUUGUCCAUUACCUUACUAGUUUCCUUUCCUGAUUCCUUACCUACCCUGCAAUCAAUAUCAUAACUCUUUGUAUCUUUUCUUUCUUUUUAUAGCUCUCUGUUCCCAUGGGAUUUUGUGUCUUUAAAGACAUCAUUUGAAGAACAAAUCCAUGUUUGAACCUAGCAGUUUGGAUUUUUGUUUUUUUUUGUUUUUUACAAAGGUAAAAUAAUUAUCGAUUUUGAUCUUGGAAGAUAUAAUUAGAUUAUCAAGUGCCU